rnacentral:rRNA from 1 species
AGAGUUUGAUCCUGGCUCAGAACGAACGCUGGCGGCGUGCUUAACACAUGCAAGUCGAACGAGAAAGAUUUCUUCGGAAAUUGAGUAGAGUGGCGCACGGGUGAGUAACGCGUAGGUAAUCUACCCUAAUAUUUGGGAUAACAUUGGGAAACUGGUGCUAAUACCGAAUACCCUUCUUUUCUGUCGGGUUAAGGAGGAAAGGUGGCCUCUUCAUGAAAGCUACCGUAUAAGGAUGAGCCUGCGUACUAUUAGCUAGUAGGUGGGGUAAAGGCCCACCUAGGCUACGAUGGUUAGCGGGUCUGAGAGGAUGAUCCGCCACACUGGAACUGGAACACGGACCAGACUCCUACGGGAGGCAGCAGUGAGGAAUAUUGCGCAAUGGGGGAAACCCUGACGCAGCGACGCCGCGUGAGUGAGGAAGGUUUUCGGAUCGUAAAGCUCUGUCAGAAGGGAAGAAGUGUUAUACAGUUAAUACCUGUAUAAUUUGACGGUACCUUCAGAGGAAGCACCGGCUAACUCCGUGCCAGCAGCCGCGGUAAUACGGAGGGUGCGAGCGUUGUUCGGAAUUACUGGGCGUAAAGGGCGCGUAGGCGGCCCGAUAAGUCAGGUGUGAAAGUCCACGGCUCAACCGUGGAAGUGCAUUUGAAACUGUCAGGCUUGAGUAUCGGAGGGGAAAGUGGAAUUCCCGGUGUAGAGGUGAAAUUCGUAGAGAUCGGGAGGAACACCGGUGGCGAAGGCGACUUUCUGGACGAAUACUGACGCUGAGGCGCGAAAGCGUGGGGAGCAAACAGGAUUAGAUACCCUGGUAGUCCACGCCGUAAACGAUGUGAACUAGGGAUAGGGGGUGUUGAUCCCUCCUGUCCCGCAGCUAACGCAUUAAGUUCACCGCCUGGGGAGUACGGUCGCAAGAUUAAAACUCAAAGGAAUUGAUGG